rnacentral:rRNA from 1 species
UACAGAGGUCUCAAGCGUUGUUCGGAUUCAUUGGGCGUAAAGGGUGCGUAGGUGGCGUGGUAAGUCGGAUGUGAAAUCCCGGGGCUCAACCCCGGAACUGCAUUCGAUACUGCCAUGCUAGAGUACUGGAGAGGAGAUUGGAAUUUACGGUGUAGCAGUGAAAUGCGUAGAUAUCGUAAGGAAGACCAGUGGCGAAGGCGGGUCUCUGGACAGUUCCUGACGCUGAGGCACGAAGGCCAGGGGAGCAAACGGG